rnacentral:pre_miRNA from 8 species
UGCCCCCGUGCGAGGAAUCUAAGAUAGAAUUGGACUUUGCUGUGAAAUUCUAUCUUAGAUUCCUCGCACGGGGGC